UACGAAGGGGGCUAGCGUUGCUCGGAAUUACUGGGCGUAAAGCGCACGUAGGCGGCUUUCUAAGUCGGGGGUGAAAUCCUGGAGCUCAACUCCAGAACUGCCUUCGAUACUGGAAAGCUCGAGUCCGGGAGAGGUGAGUGGAACUGCGAGUGUAGAGGUGAAAUUCGUAGAUAUUCGCAAGAACACCAGUGGCGAAGGCGGCUCACUGGCCCGGUACUGACGCUGAGGUGCGAGAGCGUGGGGAGCGAACCGG
rnacentral:rRNA from 1 species